GUAGGGAAUCUUCCACAAUGGACGAAAGUCUGAUGGAGCAACGCCGCGUGAGUGAAGAAGGUCUUCGGAUCGUAAAACUCUGUUGUUAGAGAAGAACGUGCAUGAUAGUAACUGAUCAUGUAAUGACGGUAUCUAACCAGAAAGCCACGGCUAACUACGUGCCAGCAGCCGCGGUAAUACGUAGGUGGCAAGCGUUGUCCGGAUUUAUUGGGCGUAAAGGGAACGCAGGCGGUUUUUUAAGUCUGAUGUGAAAGCCUUCGGCUUAACCGAAGAAUAGCAUUGGAAACUGGAAGACUUGAGUGCAGAAGAGGAGAGUGGAAUUCCAUGUGUAGCGGUGAAAUGCGUAGAUAUAUGGAAGAACACCAGUGGCGAAAGCGGCUCUCUGGUCUGUAACUGACGCUGAGGUUCGAAAGCGUGGGUAGCAAACAGGAUUAGAAACCCGGGUAGUCC
rnacentral:rRNA from 1 species